GACGAACGCUGGCGGCGUGCCUAAUACAUGCAAGUAGAACGCUGAAGAGAGGAGCUUGCUCUUCUUGGAUGAGUUGCGAACGGGUGAGUAACGCGUAGGUAACCUGCCUGGUAGCGGGGGAUAACUAUUGGAAACGAUAGCUAAUACCGCAUAAAAUUGAUUAUUGCAUGAUAAUUAAUUGAAAGAUGCAACUGCAUCACUACCAGAUGGACCUGCGUUGUAUUAGCUAGUUGGUGAGGUAACGGCUCACCAAGGCGACGAUACAUAGCCGACCUGAGAGGGUCAUCGGCCACACUGGGACUGAGACACGGCCCAGACUCCUACGGGAGGCAGCAGUAGGGAAUCUUCGGCAAUGGGGGGAACCCUGACCGAGCAACGCCGCGUGAGUGAAGAAGGUUUUCGGAUCGUAAAGCUCUGUUGUAAGAGAAGAACGGGUGUGAGAGUGGAAAGUUCACACUGUGACGGUAUCUUACCAGAAGGGGACGGCUAACUACGUG
rnacentral:rRNA from 1 species